UGCUAAUACCGCAUAAUGUCUACGGACCAAAGGGGGCUUCGGCUCUCGCCUUUAGAUUGCCCCAAGUGGGAUUAGCUAGUUGGUGAGGUAAUGGCUCACCAAGGCGACGAUCCCUAGCUGGUUUGAGAGGAUGAUCAGCCACACUGGGACUGAGACACGGCCCAAACUCCUACGGGAGGCAGCAGUGGGGAAUAUUGCACAAUGGGCGCAAGCCUGAUGCAGCCAUGCCGCGUGUGUGAAGAAGGCCUUCGGGUUGUAAAGCACUUUCAGUCAGGAGGAAAGGUUAGUAGUUAAUACCUGCUAGCUGUGACGUUACUGACAGAAGAAGCACCGGCUAACUCCGUGCCAGCAGCCGCGGUAAUACGGAGGGUGCGAGCGUUAAUCGGAAUUACUGGGCGUAAAGCGUACGCAGGCGGUUUGUUAAGCGAGAUGUGAAAGCCCCGGGCUCAACCUGGGAACUGCAUUUCGAACUGGCAAACUAGAGUGUGAUAGAGGGUGGUAGAAUUUCAGGUGUAGCGGUGAAAUGCGUAGAGAUCUGAAGGAAUACCGAUGGCGAAGGCAGCCACCUGGGUCAACACUGACGCUCAUGUACGAAAGCGUGGGGAGCAAACAGGAUUAGAUACCCUGGUAGUCCACGCCGUAAACGAUGUCUACUAGAAGCUCGGAACCUCGGUUCUGUUUUUCAAAGCUAACGCAUUAAGUACACCGCCUGGGGAGUACGGCCGCAAGGUUAAAACUCAAAUGAAUUGACGGGGGCCCGCACAAGCGGUGGAGCAUGUGGUUUAAUUCGAUGCAACGCGAAGAACCUUACCUACACUUGAC
rnacentral:rRNA from 1 species